GACGGAGGGAGCAAGCGUUGCUCGGAAUAAUUGGGCGUAAAGGGUGCGUAGGCUGUUUUUUAAGUCAGAUGUUAAAGACCGGGACUCAAUCUCGGCGGUGCAUUUGAUACUGAAAAACUCGAGUGUGGAAGAGGAAAUAGGAAUUCCUCAUGUAGAGGUGAAAUUCGUAGAUAUGAGGAGGAACACCAAAGGCGAAGGCAAGUUUCUGGUACACCACUGACGCUGAGGCACGAAAGCGUGGGGAGCAAACAGG
rnacentral:misc_RNA from 1 species